GACACUGACUACAUUGUUCUAUCAGUGUGAUGUGAAAAGGCACACAGUUAAUUAGAUGCAUAUUCUUAUCUUAUGACAUGUUCUUAGAUGUCUACAGCCUAUAGUAUUCUAAGGGCCUGCAUUAAGUCACACAGAUUGUUAUGAAGGAGGAAAAAAAAGUACUUUCUUGAUAUAAGAGCUCUUCAUCCCACCUAAUUCUUCAAAGAAGAGAUUCAUCAUUUCCUGAACAUUCAGUGCUAGAGUGAGCAUUGGACAGCUGCCCAGAGACCAAUCAGAUAACAGAAGAGAGAGCCUUUUCAUCUCUGGAAAACUCUUCAAAGAGGUGGAUGGGAAUUUAGCCACAUGACUUCUUCAUUGAUGGAAGACAUACAAUUAGAUCUAAGUAUUACUUCACCAGUGGUUUUUGACCCUUGUCAGCUGUGGAGCUGUAAACAUUUUCUGUGGAAAAUCUAGUCUCUUUAGAAAUUUCACACAUAUGGACAGUUCCGUGCAUAUAUGUGUUUUCCAUGUUUUUCCGUGUUUUUUAUAAUCAGCUGUCAUGUUCGCAUUAGAAACAGUAUUUAGUUCACCUUAGCCAUCUGCAGCCAUUCAUCAGAGGAAAUUUAUGAAAGUUUUCUCUCUGUCAUAAUCCUGUGUAGCUCACGUAGAAUGGAAAUAAAGUUUGAUAAUUUAUCUGUA